AUCUCAUUGGCUCAGUUGGUUAGAGUGUUCGCUUCACAUUAAAAGACAGGUCACCCGAUCUGGUGAUCGCGAAAGGUCCCCGGUUCGAUCCCGGGAUGGGAUA